GAUGAAGAACGCAGCGAAAUGCGAUAAGUAAUGUGAAUUGCAGAAUUCCGUGAAUCAUCGAAUCUUUGAACGCACAUUGCGCCCUCUGGUAUUCCGGGGGGCAUGCCUGUCCGAGCGUCAUUUGCAACCCUCAAGCCCGGCUUGUGUGAUGGGUGCCGUCCCCUACGGGACGCGCCCCGAAGGCAAUGGCGGCGUCGCGGUUAUCCGAUCAGCCAAAGUGUAUGGGGCUUUGUCACUCACUUUACGGCCCGGACCGGCGCCAGUCCGAAUCAAUCUUUUUUCUAAAGUUGACCUCGGAUCAGGUAGGGAUACCCGCUGAACUUAAGCAUACCAAUAAGCGGAGGA
rnacentral:misc_RNA from 1 species